CCUACGGGUGGCUGCAGUGGGGAAUAUUGGACAAUGGGGGGAACCCUGAUCCAGCCAUGCCGCGUGUGUGAAGAAGGCCCUCGGGUUGUAAAGCACUUUCAGUGAGGAAGAACGCCUGGUGGUUAAUACCCAUCAGGAAAGACAUCACUCACAGAAGAAGCACCGGCUAACUCCGUGCCAGCAGCCGCGGUAAUACGGAGGGUGCGAGCGUUAAUCGGAAUUACUGGGCGUAAAGCGCGCGUAGGUGGCUUGAUAAGCCGGUUGUGAAAGCCCCGGGCUCAACCUGGGAACGGCAUCCGGAACUGUCAAGUUAGAGUGCAGGAGAGGAAGGUAGAAUUCCCGGUGUAGCGGUGAAAUGCGUAGAGAUCGGGAGGAAUACCAGUGGCGAAGGCGGCCUUCUGGACUGACACUGACACUGAGGUGCGAAAGCGUGGGUAGCAAACAGGAUUAGAUACCCCAGUAGUC
rnacentral:rRNA from 1 species